rnacentral:rRNA from 1 species
UACAGAACGCCCGGGCUUCGGCCUGGUUAUUCAUAACCCUUUGUUGUCCGACUCUGUUGCCUCCGGGGCGACCCUGCCUUCGGGCGGGGGCUCCGGGUGGACACUUCAAACUCUUGCGUAACUUUGCAGUCUGAGUAAACUUAAUUAAUAAAUUAAAACUUUUAACAACGGAUCUCUUGGUUCUGGCAUCGAUGAAGAACGCAGCGAAAUGCGAUAAGUAAUGUGAAUUGCAGAAUUCAGUGAAUCAUCGAAUCUUUGAACGCACAUUGCGCCCCCUGGUAUUCCGGGGGGCAUGCCUGUUCGAGCGUCAUUUCACCACUCAAGCCUCGCUUGGUAUUGGGCAACGCGGUCCGCCGCGUGCCUCAAAUCGUCCGGCUGGGUCUUCUGUCCCCUAAGCGUUGUGGAAACUAUUCGCUAAAGGGUGUUCGGGAGGCUACGCCGUAAAACAACCCCAUUUCUAAGGUUGACCUCGGAUCAGGUAGGGAUACCCGCUGAACUUAAGCAUAUCAAUAAGCGGA